UCCUCGGCGCCGCAAAUACUUCGCCUUGAUCUCCCCCAGUAUGCAAGGUCUUCUACGUCGCCAACCAUGCCGGCGUUGCGCUGGCCGGGCUCAUCGUCGACGGACGUGUUCUGAUCUCCCUGGAGGAUGAUCUGCCGUUCCGAGGUGAGCAACUCGACCUUGUCGGAAACUAAUGAUGGAUCUGUGCGCCUGAUUUUCUAACUAAUUGGUGCUCUCUGCUUGCGACAUCUCUGAUGUGACUGUAGAUGCUAUUUCUAAGUCUAUUACUCUUGAGGUGAUCGCCAAAAUAAUGCAAGACAGAGGUUCAAGAUUACAUGUAGUAACGUCAGUAAUCGUAUGUUUUUUAUGCUAGGGCCAUCAGUUUAGAUUGGAUGUAAUCUUGCAUAUCUGUCUGAUCAUGGUUGUCUAUAUUACUAAUAGGCAGUUCCUGCCAGGACCUACCGAAGGAAAUGAUGAGCAAUCAAAUAACUCCAGAAUGUUUUAAAGAGGGCUUAAUUCUCUGUGACAAGAGAGUCUGAAAGGACAUCAAGGAGUAAGCUUAGAUGUACUGGUCGGCAUAUUACCCUGUCUUGAAAAAGAGAUGGAGGAAAUUGUUCUUCAUAAAACUUUCAAGUUGGCUGAGAAGGUUGCAUCCAUAAUGGAAGAACCAGAGCCUUUCCUUUCACGGUACCUGAGGGAAAUCCUUUUGCUGAUUUGAAUCCUCCAGCAAAUUGGGCAGAUUUAGAGAAAUCUGUAUGGAUCAAAAUCGUCCAGCGAAUUGGGCAGAUCGGACGGCCGGACAGAGUUCGAACGAGUUUGGCUGUGUAGCGUUGAGAGAACAGAGGGAAUCUAGUCCUUUUUAUGAUGCGUCCCAAUGUUUUAACAAUAUACCUGUCAGAGUAGGAGUAGGA